rnacentral:rRNA from 1 species
UUGCGUAGGUGGUUUAUUAAGUGAAUAGUGAAAGCUGGUGGCUUAACCAUACAGACUAUUAUUCAAACUGGUAGACUCGAGAGUAGUAGAGGUAACUGGAAUUUCUUGUGUAGGAGUGGAAUCCGUAGAUAUAAGAAGGAACACCAAUGGCGUAGGCAGGUUACUGGACUAUCUCUGACACUGAGGCACGAAAGCGUGGGGAGCGAACCG